UACAGAGGGGGCAAGCGUUGUUCGGAAUUACUGGGCGUAAAGGGCGCGUAGGCGGCCUUCUAAGUCGAACGUGAAAUCCCCGGGCUCAACCCGGGAACUGCGUCCGAUACUGGAAGGCUUGAAUCCGGGAGAGGGAUGCGGAAUUCCAGGUGUAGCGGUGAAAUGCGUAGAUAUCUGGAGGAACACCGGUGGCGAAGGCGGGUCUCUGGGCAUUUCCUGACGCUGAGGCGCGAAAGCGUGGGGAGCAAACGGG
rnacentral:rRNA from 1 species